CAAGAUUCAAUACAGGCCCAAAAAUCUCAAAAAUAACUAACCAUAAAUGGCUAUGUUCUAGACAAUGCAAACCACAAAAUAACAAACCAUAUAUUACUGAGCCAAUACAAGUUCAAAAAGACCAUAAAUCAUGUCAUAAACAAAAGAAAAAUGACUCUUUUUUACACCAAAAAAACCAAAAUAUUCAAGGCAUCCAAACUGGUCUUUUCUUCCCUUUCUCCUGUGUUUUUCCUUUUUUUUACCACCACCUUGACCUGCUUUGCCUCUGCUUCCACCAACUGCUUUGCUUUUACUUCCACCAACUACUUUGCUUUUGCUUCCACCAACUGAAGUAGUCUUUGAUCUCUGGAAUAAUGCACCAUUAGGGCCAUGUAAUAAUGAUGGUUGUGAGGCAGACUGUUGGGAAAAUGGAUUCUAUGAAAGAAAAAAAAGUGCAAGUCAAAUUUAUUGAAAAAAUGAAAGUAUUCAAAAAAAGGCAAGUCAUUCAAAUUGAUAAAUGAAAUGAAUGCUCACUAAACUAACCUCAAAAGUGGAUUGAGAAAUAUGUGGUUGUUGAGAUGAACUUGAAUGAG
rnacentral:lncRNA from 1 species